rnacentral:hammerhead_ribozyme from 1 species
AUGCAGUUGACGAGUCCCAAAUAGGACGAAAUGCGCAUCCUGGAU